UACGUAGGGUGCAAGCGUUGUCCGGAAUUAUUGGGCGUAAAGAGCUCGUAGGCGGUUUGUCGCGUCUGCUGUGAAAACUCGGGGCUUAACCCCGGGCCUGCAGUGGGUACGGGCAGACUAGAGUGCGGUAGGGGAGACUGGAAUUCCUGGUGUAGCGGUGAAAUGCGCAGAUAUCAGGAGGAACACCGGUGGCGAAGGCGGGUCUCUGGGCCGAAACUGACGCUGAGGAGCGAAAGCAUGGGGAGCGAACAGG
rnacentral:rRNA from 1 species